UACAGAGGGUGCGAGCGUUGUCCGGAAUCACUGGGCGUAAAGGGCGCGUAGGUGGCUUGGUAAGCGUGUGGUGAAAGUCCGGGGCUCAACCCCGGAUCGGCCAUGCGAACUGCCGAGCUCGAGCGAUGUAGAGGCAGGUGGAAUUUCGGGUGUAGCGGUGGAAUGCGUAGAUAUCCGAAAGAACACCGGUGGCGAAGGCGGCCUGCUGGGCAUCCGCUGACACUGAGGCGCGACAGCGUGGGGAGCAAACAGG
rnacentral:rRNA from 1 species